rnacentral:lncRNA from 1 species
GUCUCUAAAGGUUUCUGUAUUCCUAAUCUCAUCUCAGAAAAUGGAUUUAAAGUCUAGUGCUCUUUGAUAUUUUAAAGUAGUGGGUUCAUACAAUAAUAAGAUUUUUAAAAAUUAAUUCCUAAACCUAGCUUCAUUAGGCAGGAGCCACUGGGUGAUACUCUCCAGGCAUCAAUUAUCGUCCAAGUUCAACAGCUAUGAGAACACAGCCCUGCUUUCCUAGACACAGGUGGGGGAAGCAACCUGAAGGUCUGCAGAAGGGAGAAAAAACUGGCAGGAGGGUCUCAGGAAAGGUCACUGGAAGCCUGCAGGAUGAGUAGUGAAACUCUGGAGGGAUAGAGGGAGGGAAGGUUGAAAAACUGCCUAUUGGGUACUAUCCUCAUAUCCUGGGUGAUGGGUAGAGUCAUACCUCAAACCUCAGCAUCACUCAAUAUACUCAUGCAACAAAUCUGCACAGGUACCCACCGAAUCUAAAACACAAGUUCAAAUUAUAAAAAAAAAUUUAAAAAGAAGUAAAUAACAUAAGUAAUAAUUAAAAACCCACCGGCCCCAACAUAUUAUUAUUAACAAAGGUCAUCAGGGUGAAGUUUGGAAACAGGUAUACAUUGUGAUGCAAUCGUCAGAACCAAGCUAGUUAACAUCUCCACCACCUCACAUAGAUACCAUGUUCUUUCCUUCUUAUUAUUUAUUUAACUCUUGGGCUCAAGCAAUAAAAGAAAAUAAAGUUUCUCUAAGAAUGUGUGACCAACCACCAUCCUUCUCUCAUGGGGAUGUGGAGUUUCCCUCGUCUUGGAUGUCUAACAGACCUGUCAAUCACCACACAUCCCAGACCGACCACAUCUUUCCCCACCUCACAUAAAGGUGGCUCCAGCCCCCUUGAUGUGCAGUCCACAAGAUUUGUGGGGUUAUCCUUGAUUCCUGCAUUUCCCUCACAUGACACACUCAGUCUCUCAACAAAUCCUAUACCUUAAUUAAUGUGUUUAUUGACAAGAAUUUCACGCGACAUAAAAUUAACUGUUUUAUCUGUACAGUUUAGCGGCAUUUGGUGCAUUUACACUGCUGUGCAGCAGCUCCUCUAGCUGGUUCCUG